UACGUAGGGUGCGAGCGUUGUCCGGAUUUAUUGGGCGUAAAGAGCUCGUAGGCGGUUUGUCGCGUCGGCCGUGAAAUCUCCACGCUUAACGUGGAGCGUGCGGUCGAUACGGGCAGACUUGAGUUCGGUAGGGGAGACUGGAAUUCCUGGUGUAGCGGUGAAAUGCGCAGAUAUCAGGAGGAACACCGAUGGCGAAGGCAGGUCUCUGGGCCGAUACUGACGCUGAGAAGCGAAAGCGUGGGGAGCGAACAGG
rnacentral:rRNA from 1 species